rnacentral:rRNA from 1 species
CCCUUAGAUGUUCUGGGCCGCACGCGUGCUACACUGAGUGGAUCAGCGGGUCAGGUUACGCGCGAGCGUUUCCUAAUCUUCAAAUCCGCUCGUGAUGGGGAUUGACGGUUGCAAUUUUCCGUCAUGAACGAGGAAUACCUUGUAAGCGCGGGUCAUCAUCCCGCGCUGAAUACGUCCCUGCCCUUUGUACACACCGCCCGUCGCUCCUACCGAUUGAGUGGUCCGGUGAGGCUUUGGGAUCUAAGCGAAAAGAGCGUUUCGCUCCUUUUGCUGGGAGAACUCAGUCGAACCUUAUCAUUUAGAGGAAGGAGAAGUCGUAACA